GGAAAAUUUAGGAGCUUCAGGAAAAUAUAAAGAAAAUUAAGGAAGUCAUCUCGCUUCUCAAAUACCGUGUUAAUUUGGGAGAGCACCUGCCAGGCAGCAGUGUCGCUCAGCUUAUGCGCAGCCAGCUUGGGGACUACAGCAGCUCAUCCUAACAAGAGACCAGAACUUCAGGCUGGUCUGAGGCAUGUGCCCACCUCUGGGUCACACGUCAUUCUUGAAGCAGUGGGCAAGUCAAAUAUCCCCACCCCUCCUGCACAGAAAAGGGGAGGAUCCCAAGAAGAGAAUGUGGGGGCUGCCUCCAGGAGGAGAAGAAAGACUUGUGGGUCCACUGCAGACAUCCAGGUGGAGAUGUCUGGAGCCCAGGGGUCGGGUAAGAGCUACAGCCAGGUUGGGGUUAUUGUGGGAGGAGCCGUAGGAGUGAAUGAGAUCAGGAAAGGUGGCCGGGGUAGACCUAGGACCUAGGGACCUAGGAAAGAGACAGACACGCUGGGGAAGAAGCGUCAGAGGACAGAGGGUGAGACGCUUGAAAAGGAAGUGGGCGAGAACAGUGUUGCCUAAAAAGAGGGAGCCCAGUUCCCUGAAGGUGAGGGUGAAGACAGGCCAUUGGGCUGAGACGAUGGGCAAAGGGCAGGGUGUGGGCAGAGCUGGUUUGGGACCCAGAGCAGUGGAAGGGCAGAGCAGCCCUUGCCGAGACCAAGGGACAGCAGGGCUGAAUGACCGCAAUGCAGCACCCGCUUCGCUUUGCAAAUAAAAUGCGGACUGCGCGAGAAAGCCUGGCUUUUAGCGUCCAUGCGUGUCCAGGAACAGCGACCAGGGCAAGUGCUUGAGUGCGCCAGGCUGGGCGAGGCAGGGAGGGACUGAGGGCUGGGUCCGGGGGAGAGGAGUGGCCAGGGAGGAGGGGCGACCCAAAGGCCUCCGGUGAUGCGCUGACAGAAGGUAAAAACAAGGAACAAAGCAAAACCACACACAGGACGGCAGCGCGGAGUCCGGGCCCUGCCCUCUGCAGCAGCGCAGCCCGGGGACUCUGGGGCUCUCCCUGCUGCCUGUGGAAUUUCCAGGCCAGCGCAUCUGAUUGGCCUGGCCUGGGGCAGUGGGUGGGGAUUUGGAUGUUUCCAGAGAAGGGAAGAUGGCGGUGAGACAGCCGCUCGGCAGCUCCAGAGGGGUCGAUCCCGCGACAGGGGAAGGGGGCGUGGGCGUCACAUGGCAGCGCUGAGACUUGAGUGCUGGAACAGCCCAGCGAGGAAGGUCCCAAAGACAGCUCUUUUCACCAGAGACAGGCCGUGCGUUUGCGGUGCGGGCUCCACCCGCAGUUCUGCUUCAGCCACGCCCUGUGGUGACCACGCCCACAGACGGCCCUGGUGACCUCGCCGACAGAUGGGCACGACCUUGAAUGGCUCUGCUUUUGAUAGUCACGCCCCUUGUAGCCAUGUCCUGUGAUGGCCACACCCACCAAUGAGCAUGCCCUCAGGUGACCACUCUCAGACACCCUGGGAUCCAGCUGCCCUCACACCCCCGGGGCAUGCCUGGGCACACCUGUCCUCUCUUUGGCCCUCCCCUAAAAAGCCCUCCAAAUCCUAAAUCCUUCUUCCAAAUCCUGUUCUGCUGCUUCAGUCUCACCACCUCCUUGAGGCCCCCUGUGACUACCCCAGCUCUCUGGUGUUCACUCGCUUGGUUCCUACGAUACAUUGGAGCACAUUUGCCUUUUUAAAAAUAAGCUGAGCUGUCUCCACAGCUAGAUUU
rnacentral:lncRNA from 1 species